GGGCCCCGCACAAGCAGCGGAGCGUGUGGUUUAAUUCGAUGCUACACGAAGAACCUUACCAGGGUUUGACAUACAAGUAGUAGGGAAAGGAAACUGGACCGACCCUUCGGGGAGCUUGAACAGGUGCUGCAUGGCUGUCGUCAGCUCGUGUCGUGAGAUGUUCGGUUAAGUCCGCUAACGAGCGCAACCCUCGCUGUGUGUUACAAGUGUCACACGGAACUGCCGGUCAUAAACCGGAGGAAGUGGGGAUGACGUCAAGUCAGCAUGGCCUUUAUAUCCUGGGCUACACACACGCUACAAUGGGAAGGGACAAUAGGUUGCGAAACCGCGAGGUGGAGCCAAUCCAGCAAAACUUCCCUCAGUUCAGAUUGCAGGCUGCAACUCGCCUGCAUGAAGUUGGAGUUGCUAGUAAACGCAGGUCAGCCAUACUGCGUUGAAUACGUUCCCGGGGCUU
rnacentral:rRNA from 1 species